rnacentral:rRNA from 1 species
GAUGAACGCUGGCGGCGUGCCUAAUACAUGCAAGUCGAGCGAACAGACGAGGAGCUUGCUCCUCUGACGUUAGCGGCGGACGGGUGAGUAACACGUGGAUAACCUACCUAUAAGACUGGGAUAACUUCGGGAAACCGGAGCUAAUACCGGAUAAUAUAUUGACCCGCAUGGUUCAAUAGUGAAAGACGGUUUUGCUGUCACUUAUAGAUGGAUCCGCGGCGCAUUAGCUAGUUGGUAAGGUAACGGCUUACCAAGGCAACGAUGCGUAGCCGACCUGAGAGGGGGAUCGGCCACACUGGAACUGAGACACGGUCCAGACUCCUACGGGAGGCAGCAGUAGGGAAUCUUCCGCAAUGGGCGAAAGCCUGAUGGAGCAACGCCGCGUGAGUGAUGAAGGUCUUCGGAUCGUAAAACUCUGUUAUUAGUGAAGAACAAAUGUGUAAGUAACUAUGCACGUCUUGACGGUACCUAAUCAGAAAGCCACGGCUAACUACGUG